rnacentral:rRNA from 1 species
CCCNCGUAAUUCCAGCUCGAAUAGCGUAUGUUAAAUUUGCUGCGGUUAAAAAGCUCGUAGUUGGGAGUCAGGAGAUGAACUGUGCGCUGUCAUGUCACAAAAUGACGUGUAUAGCAUUGCACCAGAUUCACUUCUUUAACAUCGCUGCUCCUGCGUCGUCAAAGACCCAAUUAAGUUUGGGAGGCGCAUUUAAAAGGGAAGGCGAGUAACUACUUUGAGAAAAUUAGCGUGCUUAACGCAAGCGUCUUGCUUGAAUACUGUUGCAUGGAAUAAUGAGAUAGGACCUUGGUUCUGUUUCGUUGGUUUCCGGAAGCCGAGGUAAUGAUUGAUAGGGAUAAACGUGGGCAUUCGUAUUGUGGUGUUAGAGGUGAAAUUCGAUGAUCACCGCAAGACGUACAACUGCGAAAGCAUUUGCCAAGAAUGUUUUCAUUAAUCAAGAACGAAAGUUAGAGUUUCGAAGACGAUUAGAUACCGUCCUAGUUCUAACUAUAAACUAUGCCAACUGGGCAUCUGGCGCUUGCAACUUAAAAGCAUCGCCAGGCACCCCGCGGGAAACCAAAGUUAUUGGGUUCCGGGGGGAGUAUGGUUGCAAAAUCGAAACUUAAAGGAAUUGACG